CAGGUUCUGCUUCUUUGGUGUAGUCCUGAAGCUUCCUAAGAAACUUCACAUCAGGUGAUGGAUAGGAGCAACCCUGUAAAACCAGCCUUAGACUAUUUUUCAAACAGGCUGGUGAAUUACCAGAUCUCCGUCAAGUGCAGUAACCAGUUCAAGUUGGAAGUGUGUCUUUUGAAUGCAGAAAACAAAGUCGUGGACAACCAGGCUGGGACCCAGGGCCAGCUGAAGGUGCUGGGUGCCAACCUCUGGUGGCCGUACCUGAUGCACGAACACCCCGCCUACCUGUACUCGUGGGAGGAUGGUGAUUGCUCACACCAAAGCCUUGGACCCCUCCCAGCCUGUGACCUUUGGGACCAACUCCACCUACGCAGCAGACAAGGGGGCUCUGUAUGUGGAUGUGAUCCGUGUGAACAGCUACUACUCUUGGUAUCGCAACUACGGGCACCUGGAGUUGAUUCGGCUGCAGCUGGCCGCCCAGUUUGAGAAUUGGUGUAAGACAUCACAAUCCCAUUAUUCAGAGCGCGUAUGGAGUGGAAACGCUUGUAGGGCUUCACCAGGUAAGCGGUGUUGAACUUUCUGCUUGUGUAUUCUCUCUGGGCAGAGAUGCCACUUG